rnacentral:misc_RNA from 1 species
GCCUCUAGUCAAAUUCUGUUGAAUACUUCAACUAGAAAUUGGUCUAAAUAUACCUAGAAACUGGUCUAAAUAUCUUGCUACUGGAGAUUGAUCAGGUAUGCUGGAAUACUCUGAUCAGUGUAUUCGCUGAUUCAAAGGUAUCAGUUUCUGAAUGUUUAGAAUCUGAACCACAAACAAUGAGCAGAGAGGGUAUGAAGUUCUCAUACGAACAUGUUUCUGUAGGACACUUGUGCACAAAGUCCAAGUUAGAGAUACCAAAAAUUUGGAAAGAAAAAUCUAGCCAGUAAUUAAUGGUGAACAAGGGUGAGUUGUUGAGCUUCAAAUUUGAUUUCUUCUUUCAUCUUCCUUAUAAAAUCAUCACAUUUCUUGUUCAACUCAUCAACAUUCAGCAAUCCAAUUUCUUCUUCAUAAACUUCCUCCUUUUCCAAAGAU